rnacentral:rRNA from 1 species
AUUGAACGCUGGCGGCAUGCCUUACACAUGCAAGUCGAACGGUAACGGACCUUCGGGUGCCGACGAGUGGCGAACGGGUGAGUAAUGUAUCGGAACGUACCUUUCAGUGGGGGAUAACGUAGCGAAAGUUACGCUAAUACCGCAUAUUCUGUGCGCAGGAAAGCAGGGGACCUUCGGGCCUUGCGCUGAUUGAGCGGCCGAUAUCAGAUUAGCUAGUUGGUGAGGUAAAGGCUCACCAAGGCGACGAUCUGUAGCGGGUCUGAGAGGAUGAUCCGCCACACUGGAACUGAGACACGGUCCAGACUCCUACGGGAGGCAGCAGUGGGGAAUUUUGGACAAUGGGGGCAACCCUGAUCCAGCCAUGCCGCGUGAGUGAAGAAGGCCUUCGGGUUGUAAACUUCUUUUAUGUAGGAAGAAAGGCAGAUAGUCUUAUUUGUUUGACGGUACUACAGGAAUAAGCACCGGCUAACUCCGUGCCAGCAGCCGCCGUAAGAC